AAUUCGAAGAAUUCCGAAAGCUCGAGCAACACGAAGAAAAAUUCCAUCCUUGACGUGGAUAAAUACGAAUGCUCGACGAUGCAAUUAGCGGUUUCGUUCUCCGACACGGUUGGACCCUCUCGUACUGGCAGAGGCGUCGAUUACAGAUGGAAUCCGAAGGAUGAGAAACAGCGGCCCCGCGGUCUAAAUUAGAAUUUUGGAGGUUGGAAGAGAAUCAGAAUUGAACGUUAUUGAAAUAACACAAAGGCAUUGAACUGCCAAUGGCAAUAAGCAAUAGCGUAUAAUUAACUGCGGUCAGAGAGCAAUUCUGAAGCUCCAUCGACCUGACACUGCUCGUAUAUUCUUCUCAAAGCCAUUACGGAGGACUGGCUCUGGCCUGACAAUAAUAACAGUAACAAUAACACGAAGUCGUGGAAGCUGGAUAUGAAUAUGUAUCAGAUACAUCCCUAUAGCCCUCGGAGCAGGGCGCGAAGAAAGAUCUUAUCGGGCUGGAAUAGGGUCCGUCGCCAGCCUUUCAGCAACAAAUUAAGGAUUUUAAGCCGAAAGUAAUUAGUCCCGGCGAACAAGGUGUCACUCCGUGAAAACGAGGAGACGGAGAGUCAGCCUUCAUUGUUCUCGUCGUAAUCCUCCGGGAACGUUCAUAACUUCCGUCGCUGGUCCGCAUCGAAGAAAGCGCUUGGAAAAGGAUGAUUUCGCUUUCCGGCCGAAUUAAUCGUCCCAUCGACGUGUUCCUUUCUUUUUUCGUCUACCUUCUUCGCUACGAAAAUAUUUCCUGGAAACUCUUGCGUGUCUCGAACAAUGAAUCCGACUGUCGUUCAAACUUGAAACAUCUUUCUUAGAACCGUAAGCAAGGUUUCGCGCAAAUCGGUUCUCGCAAAGAAGAAUUGCAAUCAAUUUCAUGUAACUGAAAAAGAGAUUACCGGAUACGAUCUCUUUCUCCCCUUUUCUCUCGCCGAGAGGAGAAGAAAGCUGACGCGAUAAUCUUAUUUAGCCUUUCACUCGGGCAAAUGGAUUAUUUCGGGCGACGCUGAAAGCCUCCUCGUACUCGAAAAUCGCGAAUCCUCUUUAGUUACUCCGCGAACGUAAUUAGUUAAUUAAAAGGUAAAGAGAGGGGAAAAGGAUGGCCGACCAGACAGCUUGGGAUUUGUGUCCUGAUCGCGGACAACCCCUUCGAUGCUGCUGCAUUUGCGUCGGGACGUCAAUUCGAUUCGAUGGACGUUCGCGUCGCUUUAUUUGCGAUUUCAAAUCGAACCGUGAAAUUACGACCUAACAGUCGCAUCUGUAUUGAUUGCGUUCCUCGGCAAUCAUCCCACAAAGCUUCCCCUUUCACUUUCGAUACACAUGAAAUUUGCAACUUUUUACAUAAAAAAAUACGUAUGUAUAUCCAUUGUACAGACUAUGUAUACGCGAACCAUAACAGUUCACCGAAAGAAGCUUCCCUAAGGGAUGCUCGAACCGAGCCACUUAUCCGUGAAUUUCAACCCUCCUCGAAUUUCGCGAAUUUCACGAGUACCCGACAACGGGAUCCCGAUAAUAUAUGCAAAAGCUCCACAAAGGAACAUUAACAUUUAUAUUCGCGAAGAUGCAGCGGCUCGUAAGUCCCGUAGACUUCCGUUACGGAAUUGCUAAUGAUAAGCAAAUAGGGGUGUUCUGUAUAUCUUUGACCGUCGAAGAUCCACCCUAUCGAUCCUUUAACAAAUUUUUUUUUUCCAUCAGGAUUAAGAGUAGAAGACACAGCUGUACUGACAGCAUUCGGGAUCUUAAUCAGUUUCGUUCGGUAUUCUCUGAGGAGAAUUUGACCAACGGGAGAAACCUCGGGGCGGAAUUCACCCUGCAUCCUUAAGAAAUUGGUAAAGGAAUUAGAUACGCGUGUAUACUUCCCAGAAUACGCGAAAUACCUGCACGCUUUUAUUCGACUACGAGCAAAUUUAAAAACGAACAGACUCGUAAAAGGUGAACGAAAAUAUCCUGUGCAAUCACCCCCUUGAAUAUUCCACGUAGACAGUGUGGAUUGCACACGCGUGCGAAUGCAUCGAAACGAGCAGACAAGAGGAAGAGAAAAUAAAAAAUAAAAAGAGGGAAAAUAGAGUGAGAGGCUGGACGGUGAAAAUAAGCGACUGAGUUCGAGGGGGUUCGUUUAUAAGCCGCGUGUGCUUUUUUGUAGUGCAAAUGAAUAGGUCCGACCCUCGUGUCCGAAACUUUUGUAAUUUUACGCCGUGGCUGGUCGGUGCAUUCAUUUUCCAGAAAAAUUUAAACUUUUCAUCCGUCUAGCUCUUCUUUUUCUUCCAAUUACCAAGGGAAGGGAUUUCGAAAGCACCGUGUAACGCGCCGUUUCUUUACUUAGAUCGUAUCACGAGAAGACACCGGUUAAAGCUCUCCUCCGACGAGCUGCGAAUCUAUUUAGGCUUAUCUUUUAAACGAAACAUUGCAACGAGGUAGAGAACGCCUCAUCCAUAUCAAUGUAGGGUACGUCGCGAGAUGGUUGAAAAGGAAUAGCAACCCUUCGAACCGAUCACGUACUCGUUUCCACCCUCCACGAUUCGACCCUUCCGCCUCGAGGAUCCGCUCCCGAGUCUUCGUUUACUUUCGAUUUCAAUUAAACCCUCCGAGCAAGUGUCGGUGCACGAGAUAGAAUUUAUAAUAAAAUAGAAUAAAAACCAUUAUUUUCUUUUUUCAGAAACCUGCUUCGCUGCUAUUGUGACUAUGGAAGGGAAUAAAUGAAAAAAAAAACGAAAGGUUUGUUCUACUCUGUUCACUGGAAUCUUUAUUAUAAAUUUCAGCCUACUAACAAGAUAAUUAAUCUUAUCGAGUACAUUGAAACGGUAAUGUGAAAAUAUCUUAACAAUUAUAAGAGACAAUUUGAACAUUUCAGCGGAUAUUCGUUUUCUUAACGAUGCUAUUUAAUUAAUCAACAUUUUAUAGAAGUAUAUGUAUUCUUUAAUUACGAUAUAAUUGAUGUAUCCCUGAUGAAAUUAGGCACUUAUAUUAAUUGUCUGGCGUGAUUAUAUUGCAGUAUUGCGAUGGAAGAAAUCGAUGAUCUGCAAACGUGAUUUUUCGACUAUUCUAUACAAUAUACAUAUUAAGGAAGCAAGAAUUUCUUAUCGUUCGCUAAAAUAUCGUAUAAGAAGCAGAAAAUCUAUUAGAUAAAAAUUCAUAUCUACAAACAACUGGUAGAUUUUAGACGCACAGUUAAUAGCAGACUUUUCAUAUAAGCUAUAACAAGCACUUUAUGGUAUUUCUCUUUCAAGUAAAUAGUUUUUAUGUGCAACUAGGAAGACACUUAUGUAAAUAUUAUUUUCUUGAGAAAUAUACAGAUACAGCAAUGAAAUGUUACUGUUUGCACAUAAUAAGUAUCUACUGUUGUACUAUUACACCGGUUUAUAAGGCACUACGAACAUUCGCUUGUUUCAAGAUUACUUACUGUAAUCAUAACACAAAAAUACAAGGCAACUUUCUACGUGCACAUAUUUCUUUUUUUUCAGUAAUAUCAAUUUUAGCUUUGGCAGUAAAAAAUAUUGAACAAAUUCACAAGAAAAUUGGACCAAAUUACUGAAUUUUUGAGCUUAAAUUUGGCAAGAGUAAUAUUCUAGAUUAAUAAAUUGUUGAAUAAAAAUACAAAUUUUGCAUACAAUCAGUUACAGUGCGUGUAAGUUAGCGGAUGCAACGAUACUGAUUCCUGUAUUGACAUAAUCGUUAAAUGCAUUCUCAGAAAUUUCAAAUUUCCACUGUAACAAGAUCUUGUUGAACCAGUAUAUGCAAAACUUGUUAUAUGUACACACGUGUCUUGUAAAUACUCUCUAUGUUUAGGAACUACGAAAUAAACUAAUAAUAUCAUUGUGCAUUUAUAA